rnacentral:rRNA from 1 species
GGGAAUAUUGGACAAUGGGCGCAAGCCUGAUCCAGCCAUGCCGCGUGAGUGAAGAAGGCCUUCGGGUUGUAAAGCCCUUUUGUAAGGAAAGAAAUCGCUCGGGCUAAUACCUGGGGGGGAUGACGGUACCGNAAGAAUAAGCACCGGCUAACUACGUGCCAGCAGCCGCGGUAAUACGUAGGGUGCAAGCGUUAAUCGGAAUUACUGGGCGUAAAGCGUGCGCAGGCGGUUNUUUAAGUCAGAUGUGAAAUCCCCGGGCUCAACCUGGGAACUGCAUUUGAGACUGNNNGGCUAGAGUGCGGUAGAGGGGGAUGGAAUUCCNCGUGUAGCAGUGAAAUGCGUAGAUAUGNGGAGGAACACCGAUGGCGAAGGCAGCCCCCUGGACCNANACUGACGCUCAUGCUACGAAAGCGUGGGGAGCAAA